AUGUGCAUUCGCGAGGCCGGCUCGGGCGCCCAGCUGUCAGGGAUGUCAGCCUGCCUAAGCAGGGGAAAAUAGUACGGGCAUAGCCGGUCUGAUCUAAAGAAAAAGGCUGCCUGCGACAACCCACUGUGGGACCCUAGAAGUCUCGACAGUACAGCCUCUUUGGGGCGUCUCCGUGGUUCAUCCCGCUGGAGGAGGAGGCGUUUCGAGACUGUGAAGAUGCGGGACCCAAACCACAUUUCACCAGACUGUAUCCUCACCCCCAUCUGACCUUACUGCUGCUCACACUCUCCGUCCCAGAAUGAAAUCCCCAGAAGAUGGAAGAGUGCCCGCCUCACGACGUGAAGCACCUACUCGGCUGGGAACUGAAUUGGAGGUGGAUUCAAGGGGCUCUGGGAAUGAAACCCCAAAUCAGGAGCUGGCCGGAAAGGCUGCAGUUUGCACUCCGACUGUUUCCAACUGUUCCCCGCACUUUGGAGUCCUCCCACCUGGGCACCGGGCCAUGGUGUGGACAGAUUGUGUAAUGAAGCGAAUGUAAGGAUGGAGUUGGAAGCACCUUCUGUGUCAUCAGUCUGCACCUUUUUUUGCAGGUGAAGGUGCGGGACCCCAUCCUUAGGGAUUUUGCGGUGUAUCCCUGGGGCUCCGCUUGAGGUUUCUUCAGGCUGGUUCGCCGCUGCCCUCUCCUAGGGUCAUGGGACUAUCCCGUGGAUCCCACAGAGAAGACAGACUAGAGUCCAUCGCUGACGCACCUCCACAGAGGACUCCUUUUCUGCCAAGCCACAGGGACUAGUCGCCAGGCAAAGGUGGUGUUCACUGUGAUGCGAGCCGUGGCUCACUGGUGCCCUGAGACUGGCGCAUGCCCAUUCGGGAGGCAGGCUCAGGCAUCUGAUGAUGGCAUCUUCCUGGAUUAGGCCCCCACAGAAAUUGAGGAAGUUGUUAUCAGUCAUUUAUACCCUGAAAAUAUUAGUUCACCAGAGCCCUGGAGGGGGAUGGGUAGAAGCUCAUUAAAGUAGGUCUGGAUGGUGCACAGAGUGUGAAGAAAACAGAGAAACCCAGAAAGUCUAAGCCUGAAGACAGCUCCAAUCCUAGGAGAUACUAUUAUUAUGUCCAUCUUACAGAGGAGGAAACUGAAACAAAGGAAGAGAACUUGAUCAAGACCAUGUUGCCCCACAGUGGAAGAGCCAAGAUCCAAACCCAGGUAACCUGCCUCAUCAUCAGAGCCUGGACUCAUAACCUCAUGCUGCAGUUAAGCAGGUUUGCACUGUGGCUAGAUACACAGACUCUGUGUUCACAUCUCAGCUUCUCUGCUAUUUCCAUUUCUGUGACUGUAGGCAAGUUACUUCUCUGUGCUCAGUUUCCUCUAUAAAGUAAGGACAGUA
ensembl:lncRNA novel transcript